UUACUAGAAUUUCUCCAUGUUAGUACAAGAAUCAUUCCAGAAAAGAUGCAACAGGAUGGUGCAUCUGAUAUGGCUCACUCACUAUUUCUGCUUCCAUUUGUUUCACUUGCAAUUUCAAGCUUCUUCUUUAUUUGUGAUACUACCCGAGCAAAAUCAAGUCAAAUGGUUACCGCUUGAAGACAAAAAAUCCAAGGUGGCAGUCAAAGUAUUAAUGUUGGAUCAAAAAUUCAAAUCGAGUAAGAAGCUAUUCAAAUCAGGCAAGAACGAGCUGAGCAAAGGGAUAGUUCAGUUUUGGACCAGAUCAGACCAAACAUCCACAAGCCAAAAAGAGUAGUACUAUCACUCAUCCAACAAACCAAGCAAAAGCUACACCAAACAAUAAUAGCGUUAAUCAAAGAUCAAGCUGAAUUAUCAGGAAGAAAUCCCAGGAUAUCAACAUAAUUUCCGAAAUCAAAGCAACGUCUAUUUUCGAUUGAGUCUAUAUAUAUGAACAAUGGUCAUUAAUCAGGCUUGGUGGCAUUCGGACUGGUCUACUAAAGCUCACGGCAGCAUCAUCAAUUUGCCAUAUUUUUCUUUGAAUUCCUCCUCUUCAGCAAUGUUGUGCCUUCAUGAUCAGAACCUUGCCUUGCUCCAAUUCAAGAAAACCUUUCCAUUAAAAGUGCUCCUUCUACCUGGAAUUCCCCUUACCCAAAGCCUACUCCCAAGACAUAGUCUGAAGGGAAAGACAAAGGCAUUGUUUGGAAUUUAAAAAGUUAUCAGGUCAUCUGCGUUGAUUUUCCUGGCUAGCAGCCUAUGGUACAUUUUUACCAUCCAAAAUUCAUCAUAGGAUGAGAAGAAAGUUUAAGGUCAUUAAUCGAAUUAUUUUAAUUCCUUGCCAUGGUCAUCACUUCCAUGAAUAGGGGUGUCCAUUGAAGGCCCUGCUAUUAUAAAAACAACUGAUUAAUUCAUAUUUUACAUGUUCCAAUAUUCUACUAGCUAGGGUAAAAUUGUAAAGCAGUGCACUUCAGAAGAAAGAUAAGUAAGUUGAUGUAUUUGUGAAAAUAUGUCAUAUUUUGAUGUA